AACGCGAAGAACCUUACCCAGGCUUGACAUGCAGUGGACCGCACCAGAGAUGGUGCUUCUCUUCGGAGCCGCUGCACAGGUGCUGCAUGGCUGUCGUCAGCUCGUGCCGUGAGGUGUUGGGUUAAGUCCCGCAACGAGCGCAACCCUUAUCAUUAGUUGCCAACACGUAGGGUGGGAACUCUAAUGAGACUGCCUGGGUUAACCAGGAGGAAGGUGAGGAUGACGUCAAGUCCGCAUGGCCCUUAUGUCUGGGGCUACACACGUGCUACAAUGGUCGGUACAGAAGGCAGCGAAACCGCGAGGUGAAGCAAAUCCCUUAAAGCCGAUCUCAGUUCAGAUUGUAGUCUGCAACUCGACUACAUGAAGACGGAAUUGCUAGUAAUGGCGAGUCAGCAACAUCGCCGUGAAUACGUUCCCGGGCCUUGUACACACCGUACGUC
rnacentral:rRNA from 1 species